GGCAGACCUGGUCUCUGCCCCAAAGUUCAUUCCAGUCAUUUAAGAGGAAGGAACAGGUUUGUAAAGGAGCCUCCCCUGUGGUCCUUGAGUGACAUGAUGAGGGCUUAUCAGGCUCUGAAUCCAUAGGGCAGGGACAUCACCACAUCUGGGCACCCUCAGCAAGCUGUGACCUGCAGAGUUAACAACAGGCUCUGGAAGCUUGGCGCUCACUCAGCUCCCAGAAGUUCUCAGAGGGUGAGGGUCCCACAUCUCCUGCAGGACAGGCCCUAGCUACUGAGUCACAGAAACCCAGGGCCGAAGCAAAGUCCCAAUCCCAGAGAGGCUGGGGCACACCUACAACUGAAAGGAGGCUUAGAAAUCCUUCAGAGACCACCCUAUCGGUUCUCCUCCACCUGGACAGGAUGAGCCAGCAACACAGAAGGAAGAGGCCUUCCUCCGAAAGACAGGUUUCUAAGACAGCCACCGAUGGGUCCUACCUCCUCGUAUUCACAUCCUAUGUAAUCUCCUCCCCAGUGUGGGCUGGACCUGGUGACUUGCUUCCAGUGAAUAGAAUAUAGCAAAAGUGAUUGAUGUCACCUCCAAGAUUCAGCUAUAGAAGACUAUGACUAUGACUUUCCUCUUGGCUAGCAUUCUCGCUAACCCUUCCUGCUUGCUUGUACUGAGCUGCCCUAUGAAGAGGCCCAUGUAGGGUGGCCUGGGUGGGGGUGAUCUGUGGCCAACAGCCAGCAAGGAACUAAAUCCUGUUUACAACCACAUGAGCUUGGAAGGAGAUCCUUCCCCAGUAAAGCCAGGAGAUGAAUACAGCCCCAGCCUCCAGCUUCAUUGCAGCAUCGUGAGACACCCACAAGCAGGACUCAGCUAAGCCACAGCCAGAAUUCUGUCCCACAGAACUUCAAGACAACUAGUGCUGUUGCUUUUCAGCUGCAGAGUUUUGACAUAAUUUGUUGUAUAGCAAUAGCCAGCUAGUUAUCAAUAACCACUAUUGCUCCUAUUGUUUCUCACCACAUAUCCAUAUAGUCAUGAGGAAACCUCUUUAAAUGAGACAAAGAAUCAGAACUAAUAAAAGAUAAGCAAAUUCCUUUAAAUAUACAUUUUAAUUUUACAUGGUAAAAUAUUUCAAACUGAAAGCAACUGAUUUCUAUUUGCAAUUUCACAGAGAAGCUGGAUAUCAUAAAUUCAGCAGAUGAAUGGUAGACUAGAGAAAAUUCAAUGCAUAUGGUAGAUAGUAAAUUAAUAUCUAUAAUGUACAAAUUAAUUUUUAAAAGGCUAAGAAUACCCAUUACAGAAAAGCAUAGCCAAAUGGCUAAUCAGCCUACGAAGAGAUAUUCAAAACCCUUUGAAGUCAGAGAAUUGCAAGACAAAUAGUGUAUUAUCAUUUUCAGCCCACCAGACUGAGAAAAUUAAAAUGAAUUGUAAACCAUCUUUCUGUCCUCAAGGCAAUGGCAUUUAAAGGAGGGGACAUUGGAAGGCAGAGCUCUCAUGAAUGGGAUUCAUGCCCUUAUUAAAGAAGCCUCAGAAAACUGCCAUGCCCCUUCUACCACCUGAGGGCACAGCGAGAAGACAGCCAAACCUGGGAGGGGGCCCUCACCAGGCGUAGAAUCUGCUGGUACUUUGAUCUAGGACUUCCCAGCCUAGAGAACUGUGAAAAAUAAAUUUCUAUUGUUUAUAAGCCACCCAGUCUAUGGUAUUUUGUUGCAGCAGCCCAAAUGAACUGAAACAACUCCUCUGACAGCUACACCCAAUCCACAGUGCUGGUCAAAGCAGUGUGUGAGUCCUUUGCUCCAAG
rnacentral:lncRNA from 1 species